GUAGUACCAGAGUGUACUGGGUAUGGCAACACUUAAACAAAAAUCAGACAUGGCGCGGGUACACAGAAUUCCGGAUUUUUUUCACUUUUUCAUUUAUUUCUCAAUAUUUUCAUGUUGUUUACUUAAUUUGGCUAGUGCAAACAGGGAGCUCGAUGAAAGUAAUUGGAGGGACAUACUUGAAGGGGAAUGGAUGGUAGAAUUUUACGCGCCAUGGUGCCCCGCCUGCUCCGCGCUCGCUCCCACAUGGCGGGAGCUCUCGGCCCGCGCGGGCAAGCAGUCCCUCGCCAUGCGCGCCGCCUCCGUCGACGUGACCAAGUCGCCCGGCCUCAGCGGCCGCUUCGUGGUCACCGCGCUGCCUACUAUAUUCCAUGUGAUUGACGGCGAAUUCCGUCAAUACAAGGGCCCCCGCGACGUAGACUCGAUGCUGAGCUUCGUGCAGCAGAAGCGAUGGCAGCAAACAGAGCCUGUUCCAUCUUGGAAGGGCCCAGACUCGCUCCAAAUGGGGCUGGUGGCGCAGUUCUUCAAGCUGUCUCAAGCACUUAGGAGUGUUCACAACAUGCUGAUGGAGACGUACGGGCUGCCGACGUGGGGCUCGUACCUGAUCUUCGCUGUCGCUACUAUUUUCAUUGGGGCACUGCUUGGGCUGGUGUUGGUGUGCCUGAGCGACGUGCUGUACCCCGUGCGGCGCAAGGACUUCGUGCCCGCCGCGCACGCGAGGGCCAGCGGCGACGCCGGCGGCAAGUCCGACGACGAGCAGGUACGUGUGCAGGUGUUGGUGUGCCUGAGCGACGUGCUGUACCCCGUGCGGCGCAAGGACUUCGUGCCCGCCGCGCACGCGAGGGCCAGCGGCGACGCCGGCGGCAAGUCCGACGACGAGCAGGUACGUGUGCAGGUGUUGGUGUGCCUGAGCGACGUGCUGUACCCCGUGCGGCGCAAGGACUUCGUGCCCGCCGCGCACGCGAGGGCCAGCGGCGACGCCGGCGGCAAGUCCGACGACGAGCAGGUACGUGUGCAGGUGUUGGUGUGCCUGAGCGACGUGCUGUACCCCGUGCGGCGCAAGGACUUCGUGCCCGCCGCGCACGCGAGGGCCAGCGGCGACGCCGGCGGCAAGUCCGACGACGAGCAGGUACGUGUGCAGGUGUUGGUGUGCCUGAGCGACGUGCUGUACCCCGUGCGGCGCAAGGACUUCGUGCCCGCCGCGCACGCGAGGGCCAGCGGCGACGCCGGCGGCAAGUCCGACGACGAGCAGGUACGUGUGCAGGUGUUGGUGUGCCUGAGCGACGUGCUGUACCCCGUGCGGCGCAAGGACUUCGUGCCCGCCGCGCACGCGAGGGCCAGCGGCGACGCCGGCGGCAAGUCCGACGACGAGCAGGUACGUGUGCAGGUGUUGGUGUGCCUGAGCGACGUGCUGUACCCCGUGCGGCGCAAGGACUUCGUGCCCGCCGCGCACGCGAGGGCCAGCGGCGACGCCGGCGGCAAGUCCGACGACGAGCAGGUACGUGUGCAGGUGUUGGUGUGCCUGAGCGACGUGCUGUACCCCGUGCGGCGCAAGGACUUCGUGCCCGCCGCGCACGCGAGGGCCAGCGGCGACGCCGGCGGCAAGUCCGACGACGAGCAGGUACGUGUGCAGGUGUUGGUGUGCCUGAGCGACGUGCUGUACCCCGUGCGGCGCAAGGACUUCGUGCCCGCCGCGCACGCGAGGGCCAGCGGCGACGCCGGCGGCAAGUCCGACGACGAGCAGGUACGUGUGCAGGUGUUGGUGUGCCUGAGCGACGUGCUGUACCCCCGUGCGGCGCAAGGACUUCGUGCCCGCCGCGCACGCGAGGGCCAGCGGCGACGCCGGCGGCAAGUCCGACGACGAGCAGGUACGUGUGCAGGUGUUGGUGUGCCUGAGCGACGUGCUGUACCCCGUGCGGCGCAAGGACUUCGUGCCCGCCGCGCACGCGAGGGCCAGCGGCGACGCCGGCGGCAAGUCCGACGACGAGCAGGAAGAGUUGAUAAACGAAGAUAUUGUAGACGACGCGCCGUCCGGCGCUGACAGCGAUGCUGAGAAGAAUUCACCCAGCGAUAGUUCGUCGGAGGAGUCGGGCGGCGCGGCGGCCGGCGGCGACGCGCGCGCGCCCGAGACAUGAAGUAACGAAGCCAUUUUUUUCUAAACGUUUAAAACAUUCCGGAUCCAAAAUCUACUCGUAUAACAUGCAACGUACUUACAAUUUAAAGAACAAAUUUGCAAAACGAAUUAUUGAAAUGUUAUUUAAAAUAAAGCCAAAAUUAAAGGUCUUUUACUAUAUUUUGCAUUUUUUAUUGUAUGUAAAAUACUCAGAUUAUAUGUUGCUCAGACUUUUGUAUAUUUACUAUAUAUUUUCUAACACAUGCAUUUUUCGUCCCUUAAUUUUAAGGUAUAAAUAUAUUAUAGUGAUGUGAAAGAGUUCUGAUAGUCUUUUAUUUUGUGUCGACUACCAACGAGGUAGAAAAUAUCUUAAACUAUUGCCGAAUAAAAAAGUGGUGAAAUUAUAAAUAGAACUUUUUCUCACCACCACGAUUAACAUUUAGAGAACGGGGAGCAAAAGAAAUACGAUACGUAAAGAAGAUACGUAUUGAACUAUAGUAGAUCCUCAUCGUAUUUAGUCUAAAUCUUUUGAACUGAGCAAUUGAGCAGCAGAAUCUAUUCAAUACCGUGUUUAAAAUGGCAAACGGGAAGCGCCAUAGAAAAAAGUUCAGGGCGACAUUUCAUGUUAGUCAAUUUUCAACUCUAUAGUGUUAGCCAGUAGAUUCAUGAAAAGAUGCAGAGGGCGGUCGACACGCGUCAAAAGGCACGUGGCAGUCCUGAUAGUCUGCUGAUAUUAGUUAGUACCAUUAUGUAUCAACUGCCUACGGCUAUAGAGAUGAUAAUUGAGAAACAUGAUAUGGUGCCCUGAACCUUUUUUUAGGCGCCUCCCGUUUGCCAUUUAAAACACAAUACUGAGUAGAUUCUAUCUGUAGUGUAUAGACGUCUCGAACGCUUACGUCAUGGUGACGUCACUGACAGUCGGUCGAUGUAAGACCGGCAAGCAGAGCGGUCGCACCGCGAUGUUUGUGUUGUGUUGGCGAACCGUUGGAAAUACAUUAUACGUAUGAUUUACUGAGGUAAAUACAGUACUUUACACUAUCUAUUAGCUCAUUUUAAAAGAUUUAGAAUAUACCUAUAGUGUAUACACAGCCAUUUUUAGAAGGAAUACUAAACAAUUUUUUAAUGUUUGUAAAAGUAGCCCUUAAAAGGGGUUAGUAUUGGUAAAAUUUUUGGGAAGAGAUAGUCAAAAAGGGAUUAUAAUUAUGAAGAAGGGCCCUACUUAGUGUUAGCCUUUCUUUUUCCCUAUUUAUGAAAAUGCUUAGUGCUCUAAGAUACGAAUAGGAUUUUGCUCCCCGCGCAACGCGAUAAUGCCUUGUACAAAGACUUAAGAUUUGUUGGUGUUGCGUUUUAAUUACUUAUUAUUGACCUAGUGACUUGCUGAAUAAAUUGUAUUUAUAAA